rnacentral:rRNA from 1 species
UACGUAGGGUGCAAGCGUUGUCCGGAAUUAUUGGGCGUAAAGAGCUCGUAGGCGGUUUGUCGCGUCUGCUGUGAAAACGCGAGGCUCAACCUCGCGCCUGCAGUGGGUACGGGCAGACUAGAGUGCGGUAGGGGAGAUUGGAAUUCCUGGUGUAGCGGUGGAAUGCGCAGAUAUCAGGAGGAACACCGAUGGCGAAGGCAGAUCUCUGGGCCGUACUGACGCUGAGGAGCGAAAGCGUGGGGGAGCGAACAGG